UUCAUAAUGGCUCAGUUGGUAAAGAACCUGCCUGCAAGGCAGGAGACCCAGGUCCAAUUUCUGGGUUGGGAAG
rnacentral:tRNA from 1 species